rnacentral:rRNA from 1 species
CUGCUGCCUCCCGUAGGAGUCUGGUCCGUGUCUCAGUACCAGUGUGGGGGACCUUCCUCUCAGAACCCCUACGCAUCGUCGCCUCGGUGGGCCGUUACCCCGCCGACUAGCUAAUGCGCCGCAUGCCCAUCCCCCGCCGGAAUCGCUUCCUUUGGCCGCAGACCCAUGCAGGUCCGCGGCGUUACGCGGUAUUAGUCGGGAUUUCUCCCGGUUAUCCCCCUGCGGGGGCAGGUCGCAUACGUGUUACUCACCCGUGCGCCGGUCGG